rnacentral:rRNA from 1 species
AUUGAACGCUGGCGGCAGGCUUAACACAUGCAAGUCGAGCGGGGUGAUGGUGCUUGCACUAUCACUUAGCGGCGGACGGGUGAGUAAUGCUUAGGAAUCUGCCUAUUAGUGGGGGACAACAUCUCGAAAGGGAUGCUAAUACCGCAUACGUCCUACGGGAGAAAGCAGGGGAUCACUUGUGACCUUGCGCUAAUAGAUGAGCCUAAGUCGGAUUAGCUAGUUGGUGGGGUAAAGGCCUACCAAGGCGACGAUCUGUAGCGGGUCUGAGAGGAUGAUCCGCCACACGGGGACUGAGACACGGCCCAGGCUCCUACGGGAGGCAGCAGUGGGGAAUAUUGGACAAUGGGGGGAACCCUGAUCCAGCCAUGCCGCGUGUGUGAAGAAGGCCUUAUGGUUGUAAAGCACUUUAAGCGAGGAGGAGGCUCUUUUGGUUAAUACCCAAGAUGAGUGGACGUUACUCGCAGAAUAAGCACCGGCUAACCCUGUGCCAGCCGCCGCGGUAA